CGUCUAUAUACGUAUAGCAUAUCAAUAAGCGGAGGAAAAGAAACUAACUAGGAUUCCCUCAGUAACGGCGAGUGAAGCGGGAAGAGCUCAAAUUUGAAAUCUUCAAGGUUCUACCUUGACGAAUUGUAGUUUAAAGAAGUGUUUUCUGUUGGAGUUUUGGUAAAAGUUCUUUGGAAUAGGACAUCAUAGAGGGUGAGAAUCCCGUAUUUGACCAUUAUUUCCAACUUUGUGAUACACUUUCAAAGAGUCGGAUUGUUUGGGAAUGCAGUCCAAAAUGGGUGGUAAAUUUCAUCUAAAGCUAAAUACUGGCGAGAGACCGAUAGCGAACAAGUACCGUGAGGGAAAGAUGAAAAGAACUUUGAAAAGAGAGUUAAACAGUACGUGAAAUUGUCAAAAGGGAAGCGUUUGACACCAGUGUUGUUUUCUCGAAAAUCAAUUAAAAAUGGUAGGGAUUUUGUGUUGUAUUGACUUUAUCAGCUUUCUGCACUUUUUUCCUGUCUUUUUUAAUGCACUUUUCGUUUAACAAGUCAACAUCAAUUUCUUUUGUUGUAAAAGGGUCAUUGGAAGGUGGCUUUCUUUUCGGAGAAAGUGUUUAUAGCCUUUGACUUCUGCAAUCGGAGAGAUUGAGGUCUGCAGCGUAGAUCCUUCGGGGUUAGAUGCAUUUGUGCUAAGUUAUAGCCUUUCAUAGACAACUUGUUGACUAUGAUCAGUCAUGUAGCUUACUCGCUUAUGCUAUUUUACCUACGCUUAGGAUGUUGAUCUGUAGUGCGUGCGC
rnacentral:rRNA from 1 species